rnacentral:rRNA from 1 species
AUUGAACGCUGGCGGCAUGCUUUACUCAUGCAAGUCGAACGGUAACAGGCCUUCGGGUGCUGACGAGUGGCGAACGGGUGAGUAAUGCAUCGGAACGUACCCAGAGGUGGGGGAUAACGCAGCGAAAGCUGUGCUAAUACCGCAUGUGAUCUGAGGAUGAAAGCGGGGGACCGAGCAGCAAUGUUUGGCCUCGCGCCUUUGGAGCGGCCGAUGUCGGAUUAGCUAGUUGGUGGGGUAAAGGCCUACCAAGGCGACGAUCCGUAGCUUGUCUGACAGGACGAUCAGCCCCACUGGGACUGAGACACGGCCCAGACUCCUACGGGAGGCAGCAGUGGGGAAUUUUGGACUAUGGGCGCAAGCCUGAUCCAGCAAUGCCGCGUGAGGGAAGAAGGCCUUCGGGUUGUAAACCGCUUUUGGCAGGAACGAAACGGUGUCCGCUAAUACCGGGCGCUAAUGACGGUACCUGCAGAAUAAGCACCGGCUAACUACGUG